UUUAUUUCCCAAGAUCAGCAACUAUCUAUAUCACUUUCACGUACUCGUCUCGCCAUGCAAUAGUCUAUAAUGACCACGUAUUUUACGUAUUCUCGGCUCACAGCAGCUAUUUCACAACGACACGAAUUUCAAUACAUGCACAACUGUGGCAGCAAGUGCGCGCGGACGUCAGAGAGAGAUGCUCUUGGCUGAAUUUUGAUGUCCCCUUUCUGAAGAACUGCUCGGAGACAGACUGUCAGUGUCACGCAACUCUAUCGCUGCCAAUUUCCUCAGCAACAGAACUUAAAGUCCGGCAAUGGUGGACGCUGACUGGGUUCUUGUCUACCCAACGUAUAAGUUAAGUGCGCAAAGCUUGGUCACGCCAACAGUGGAACCAAAUUGGGCUGGCAUUAGCUACAUGUGCACUAGGCAAGGUCAGCUAAAGUAGUCACAAGCCUGAUAUAUGGCACUCUCUUAUUGUUUAUUACAAGGAAUUAACCCACAGGAACUCACCCUGAACUUUUAACACUGGACUGAACCCAUUCUGCUUAUGUGUACGCUCUUGGAAUAAAAACAUAAUGAACUCAAAA